CACCCAAUGCAGGCAAAGCAAAAAAGAAACGGAAAGGAACACAAAAUCACGCAAGAAAAUUACCCAACGCCCGACUCCCUCCAUUCUCGUUCUCUCUGCCAGCGCCGCGUUGGGUUGAGGGCCGCUCGCCGCCGCUCCGUCUGUAUCCCCUCCCACCGCCGGUCCUCCGGCUCCUCCUCCGGUUGAUUCCCUCACUAGCGCCGCAUCCACACAUGCCUCCAAUAGCAGACCAUAGCAUCUUAUCCACACGCAGAUCCUCCGCGCGCGUGCGUCACGAGGACGUCAAGUCCCUGCCGCCGUUGGCAGGCGGCUCCACCCCAGCAACAUCCCCUCGGAUUCGCCCCGUUCGUCCCCUCCAGCGUGCUCGCCCGCAGGAAACAUGGCCUAGCUGCUUAUGUACAUCAAGGCCGGUAGAGAUAAGGAUUGUCUGCCUAGAGUUGGCCAGUGGAACAUGAUGAACAAGAAAAUAGGCAAUGGUGGUAAUGUCAGGAGCUGCAUGUGUGUCAACUUCGACCGAAACGUGCAAGAUAGUGUGGCUACCGAAUUAUGCCUCAGGAAUGG